CCCAGUAGCUAUAUCACCUGGCAACUCACAACUCACAACUAGCAACUAGCAACCUACUGAAGCUCAGCUGGUGUGAGUCUGGUCAGUACUUGGAUGGGAGACCUCCUGGAAAAAACUAAGGUUGCUGCUGGAA
rnacentral:rRNA from 1 species